AUGGCCCAUAGCCCUUCCCUUCACAGGCCCGUUCUUCAGGAGCCCCCAGAGCUGGAUCGCUGCCCUGGCAGGGACCCUGCCUAUCUUGCUGCUGCUUCUCCGGGCAGCCAGUUACUUCCUGUGGCAACAGCAGGAGGAAAAAAGACUCUGUUCAGAAAGAAAAAGAGCGCAAGAGUUGAGAGAAAUGGCAUGGAGCGCAAUAAAGCAAGAACGAAUCACAAGAGAAUAGAAAAAGGCUCUCUUCAAGCCAGUGGACACUUCCUCAAAAUCUCUGCAGUGGAUGUGAUUCUGGAUGCAAAAACACUAAACCCCAUCCUCCUUGUUUCUGAGGACCAGAGGAGCGUGCAGUGUGCCAAGGAGCCCCAGGAUCUACUGGACAACCCUGAGAGAUUUGAUUGGCAUUAUUGUGUUCUCGGCUGUGAGAGCUUCAUGUCAGGGAGACAUUACUGGGAGGUGGAGGUAGGGGACAGGAAAGAGUGGCAUAUAGGGGUGUGUAGUAAGAAUGUGCAGAGAAAAGGUUGGGUCAAAAUGACACCUGAGAACGGAUUCUGGACUAUGGGGCUGAUUGAUGGGAAUAAGUGUCAGACUCUAACUGAACCCAGAAACAACCUGAAACUUCAUAAGCCCCCUAGGAAAGUGGGGAUCUUCCUGAACUAUGAGACUGGAGAUAUCUCUUUCUACAAUGCUGUGGAUGGAUCGCAUAUUCAUACUUUCCUGUACGAUUACUUCUCUGAGCCUCUAUAUCCUGUUUUCAGAAUUUUGACCUUGGAGCCCACUGAUCUAACAAUUUACCCAGUGCCAGAAGUAGAGAGUUCCUCAAUUCUGACCUAGUGCCUGAUCAUUCCCUGGAGUUAACAGUGACCCCAGGCUUAGCUAACGAAUCUGGGGAGCCUCAGGCUGAAGUAACUUGUCUCUGCUUCUCCCUGCCCAGCUCAGAGCUGAGGGCCUCCCCCUCCACAGCAACCAAUCACAACCAUAAAGCUACAGGCACGCACUGAAGCACUUUACUGAUACUCAUUCAAUUAUUCAUAUGCCAGUUGUUUGAGUUUGGUACCACCUUAUUGUCCCCUUAUACAGAUAAGGAAACUGGAGUGCUGAAAAGUGAAUUAACUUUACAAAGUAGAAUUGACUAGUUAACAAUAAAGCUGGGAUCUAAACAGCAAUAACUAACAUUAAUGGAGAACCUAAAAUGUUCUGAGUGCUGUGUUAUGAGCUUUGGUGGAUGUCACUCCUUUAACCCUCACAACACCCUGUCGGGUAGUCUCAUUUUCCAAGUAUGGAAGCUGAGGCAGGGCAACAUUAAGUAACUUACAUAACUCAUGCAGUAAUUUGUGCAGUUGGGAGAUGGUCAGCUUCAGUCCCUGGCCAUUUGCCCAUUCUUUUCCACCCUGAUUCUUCCCUGAUAGGAAGAACCCACCUGUAGCUCUGAGGUUCUUUUCCCAGGACGGCUCCAGGGUAAGGAUCAUUGUGGGUGGUUGUGGAGUUGACACCCCUGUUGACUCCUUCCCAACUGAUUGUCAGAGCCCUACACCCAGCACUCCUUGGAUUAGCUCUGCAGAGUGUCUGGGUUGAGAGAAUAACCUCACCGUACCCACGUGACACAUGAUUUGAAAAGAGACUAGAGGCCACACUUGAUAAAUCAUGGGGAACAGAGGUGUGCCCACCCAACAAAUGUGAUAAGUGGUCAUGCAGCCAGAGCCAGCCUUCCUACAGUCAAGGUUUCCAGGCAGAGGAAAUACUCUGAAGAUUCUCUGUGAUAUAGGAAAUUUGGAUGAAGGGCGCUAGAAGAACUAUAGG